rnacentral:lncRNA from 1 species
AUAACAAGUAGUUCGACCUAAGAUUUCUGAGAUGGAUCUUCUAGUGUCGUUGAAUGAUAUCUCCUUCUAUAAAAAAAUUAACAGAAGGUGUUAAAUUCCUUAUUAAGCAUUCAUUAUCUCCAAACUUAUACACAUGAACUCAAGCAACACACUAUCAGACCCUGCGAACUAGUGAAGGUUUUGAGGUGCAGUCAAAAGUUCAUAUCUAUAAGCACAUGAUAUGCGAUGAUGUCUAAGGUCUUCUCUGGUUUGGAUCAAUAAUUUUUCAGUGCAUAUGAACUAGGCGAUUUAUGUAGCAGUGAAAGCAAGUUGAGGAUCAUGUAGUUGGAGACCCUAAUUGG